rnacentral:rRNA from 1 species
UACGGGGGGGGGUAAGCGUUGUUCGGAAUUACUGGGCGUAAAGGGCUCGUAGGCGGCCAACUAAGUCAGACGUGAAAUCCCUCGGCUUAACCGGGGAACUGCGUCUGAUACUGGUUGGCUUGAAUCCGGGAGAGGGAUGUGGAAUUCCAGGUGUAGCGGUGAAAUGCGUAGAUAUCUGGAGGAACACCGGUGGCGAAGGCGGCAUCCUGGACCGGUAUUGACGCUGAGGAGCGAAAGCCAGGGGGAGCAAACGGGG